rnacentral:rRNA from 1 species
UCGAACAGACUUCCUUAAUUUAUUAUUGCAUGAAAAAGGUAUCUUAAUCCAACAUCGAGGUCACAAACUUUCUUGAUGAUGAGAACUCUUUAAGAAAAUUAUGCUGUUAUCCCUAUAGUAACUUAUUCCUUUUUAAAAACUUUUUGAUUUUUCAAGAAUUGUAUUCAUAGUUUUAAAAUAAAAUUUAUUUUAUUUACUGCCCCAGUAGAAUAAUUUUUUAUUUAUAUUGAUGUUAAAUUACAAUUAUAAAGCUUAAUAGGGUCUUCUUGUCUUUAAUGUUAAUUUUAGCUUUUUUACUAAAAUAUAAAAUUUGAAGUAUAAUAAUAAGACAGGAUUAUUCAGUUAAGCCAUUCAUUC